GAGCACGCACGCUGCAUCCACUGCGGCACGCCCCGCCCGGGAUGAGGAUCUGGCUGAACAAAUGGGAAAGGAUAUAUAUUUUGACCUUGUGGACCAUGACAAAGUCCGCAGCUUUCGGAUUCAAAAACAACUCCCGUUUAAUCUUUUCAAGGAGGAGGUUGCCAAAGAGUUUGGUGUCCCUGUGCAGUUUCAGCGCUUUUGGCUAUGGGCUAAACGGCAAAAUCAUACAUAUCGUCCCAAUAGACCAUUGACACCUCAAGAGGAAGCACAAUCUGUUGGGCAGCUAAGGGAUGUGUCUAAUAAGGCGAACAAUGCGG
rnacentral:misc_RNA from 1 species